AUUGAACGCUGGCGGCAGGCCUAACACAUGCCAGUCGAGCGGAUGAAGGGAGCUUGCUCCUGGAUUCAGCGGCGGACGGGUGAGUAAUGCCUAGGAAUCUGCCUGGUAGUGGGGGAUAACGUCCGGAAACGGGCGCUAAUACCGCAUACGUCCUGAGGCAGAAAGUGGGGGAUCUUCGGACCUCACGCUAUCAGAUGAGCCUAGGUCGGAUUAGCUAGUUGGUGGGGUAAAGGCCUACCAAGGCGACGAUCCGUAACUGGUCUGAGAGGAUGAUCAGUCACACUGGAACUGAGACACGGUCCAGACUCCUACGGGAGGCAGCAGUGGGGAAUAUUGGACAAUGGGCGAAAGCCUGAUCCAGCCAUGCCGCGUGUGUGAAGAAGGUCUUCGGAUUGUAAAGCACUUUAAGUUGGGAGGAAGGGCAGUAAGUUAAUACCUUGCUGUUUUGACGUUACCAACAGAAUAAGCACCGGCUAACUUCGUG
rnacentral:rRNA from 1 species